AUUGAACGCUGGCGGCAGGCCUAACACAUGCAAGUCGAACGAGUGGCGGACGGGUGAGUAAUGUCUGGGAACCUGCCUGAUGGAGGGGGAUAACUACUGGAAACGGUAGCUAAUACCGCAUACCAUCUGAUGUGCCCAGAUGGGAAUAGCUAGUAGGUGGGGUAAAGGCUCACCUAGGCGACGAUCCCUAGCUGGUCUGAGAGGAUGACCAGCCAGACUGGAACUGAGACACGGGCAAGACUCCUACGGGCGGCAGGAGUGGGGAAUAUGGCACAAUGGGCGCAAGCCUGAUGAAGCCAUGCCGCGUGUAUGAAGAAGGCCUUAGGGUUGUAAAGUACUUUCAGCGGGGAGGCGUUACCCGCAGAAAAAGCACCGGCUAACUCCGGGCCAGCCGCCGCGGUAAUUC
rnacentral:rRNA from 1 species